AAGCACUGUAAGGUCUAGAAUGUCUUAGACGGUACUCACGGUGGAGUCACUGGAAGUUUAUAAUUAAAAGGAAAACAAACCCGAUCUUUCUGUUCCUAAUGCUUUCUGGUGGACGUUAACAGUCGGCCUGCAGAUUCAGCAGAUGCUGGAGUUUCCCGAGGCUGUGUCAUUUGCUAUUUUCUGAAGUCAUCACGAAAACCUCUCCCUCACGACGCCAACCUCCAGAUCAUACCAAUCGCCGAGGAGAAGCUCCAUCACUGCAGGAACCAACCACAAUGUAAAUCAGCUCGCAGGCCGAGAGAGCUCGCUCACCCUCAUGCUGUCCGCAGCCCAGUCCAUUCUACACACUGGCACCGGAUUAAUUGUUAUAGAUGACUCCAAGUUGACAGACUUACCAGUUCCCCUUCUCUUGUUGGACUGAGUUGAAAUCCUCGAGCGUGGAAGAUGCCCACACGGGAGCCUCCGCCACCCCUCCUCCCCAGCCUUAGCUCACCGUUCAGCCAGCUGGUUAGCAGCUCCGUGUCCUUCACACACAUCCGCCGUCUUCCUGCCUCGGUGUUUUUGUUCUCUGCCUGCUCAACCCUCGCCCAUCUCUCCACCCACACAAAUCCCUUUCCUCCUUGGAGACUCUGCUGCAGUCCCUGUACCUCCCAGACCUACACAGCUCCCCACCCCCCAAGCCUGGGGACUCAUGCCGCACCCUGGUCCCUGGUCGGUGGGCCAUCUUGCAUCUCCCUGGGGCAUCGCUCUGUGCUGUUUCUGCUGUGUUGCACCAUCCAGGCUGGACAUCCAGCUCCAUCCACCAGUGUGUGCAUCAGUAAAGGGAAGGGAGAGACACCAACCUUUGCUGAGCACCUACUGUGUGCCAGGCACCAUGUCUGGCAUUUCUAUACAUGCUCUCUCAUUGAAUCCUGCAACCAUCUUAGGCGGUCGGGAUUAGUAUUUCCAGUCACAGCUGACGAUACCGAGGCUAAAUAACUUCUUCAACUAACUCGGCUAAGAAGUGAUGCAGCCAUAAUUUAAACCCAGGAAGUACACAGGAAGGACCUAAAGCUAGAAAUCCGGAGCUCUCCAGUUCAAUUAACCUCUCGGAAUCUCAUUUUUGCCCAUGAAUGAAAACGGCUAACAACACCCACCUCUUGGAAAUGUGUGAAUUAACGGAAGACAUACUUCUGAAGGGCUUUAUCAGCUGUCGUGAUACCAUUGCUCCCGACGCCUGGCACUCCGGUGCUCAGUACAUGUGUGUUGCUACGUGGUUUCUAUUUCUUCCCGUAAGAGUUGCCGUACCUGUCUCGCCUGCGGUGCCCGCUGUCUCCCUGCUCUGAGCUGGUAACAGUAAUAUUCGUGUUUUCAACUUUGAAAAAGAAUUCAUGCCACGCUCUGCUAAGGAGCAUUUCCCGGUCCAGCGUGAUCAGAUAGGCAACACUUAGCUGCACACAUCUGCAAGCAUUAAUCAAUGUCCUCGAGAGAAUUCCU